AUACCGGUACCAGCUAUGUCACCUGUCGGUUCGACGACGCCUGUGUCACCUGUCAGUAAGGUGCCAUCAAUAUUUUCCAGGAUAGCGAUUGCUUUUGAAGGGAGCGCCCAGCCAACUGAUGUUAUCAUGAAAGUCAAUGAACCUGGUGAAGAAAACCCGUCAAAACAAGUGACGGUGGAAAAGACAAAGAGUGGAACUGGGCCGAACCAAGUUUCAUUCUGGUCGUCGACAGAAACAGUAAGCGACGUUGUCAUUAUAGUAAUUGAGAUACAACUUCCACUGCUAGAGACACCAUAUGGAACCACAACCACUAGUACAAGGUCUUUAGAGGUUAACUUAGACUUGGAGCUUUGCAUCAAGCCAGAAACGACAACAUCUGCCACAACCGAAGUACCUACGACAACGACGUCAGCGUUCACCUCUAGUACAAGAUCAACGCCUGGAUCUACAACUGGAGCUACAACUAUGCCGAUUCCAUCAACCACUAAAACAACGCUAACAAGCACAGGUAUUAGUAUUAUGUAUUCACAUACAUAAUCACAAACUUUCUUCUAAAAUGUUUCUUUGCAGAUCAGUUAUGCACCAAGGCCUGAUUUCGCAUCCAUUCGACUUUAUUAAAACUAAAUAAUAAUAAUUAUCUGAAAUGCGAGGUAUCUUUGGAUAUUUUCUAUUAUGCAAAUCUGCCAAUAAUGGCAAUAUAUAUGCUCAAAUCGUUCCUUGGUGGAGUACUCGUGUCACAUUAAUAUUUCGAUGUUUGUGAUAUUCUUUAUUAUUCUAAAGCAAGGCAGUAUUUAAGGAGAAGUCACACGAUUUCACAAGCAUGACUAAAAAUGCGGUGUAAGCAUUGUCUACGAAUCUAUUGAUUUUAUGGCAAUAACCAAGAUAAAAUGACCUACACGAUUAAGGGCAAACGUCCAGGUAAGUUUUCGCAUGUAAGUUUGAAAAGAUAUGAAACUGUCUUUCAUGGCAAUAUGUUAUACUUUGAUAAGACAAUCAGCUACAUGCACACAUACAAAACCUUUCGUCUCACUUUUAUUGCUUGUAUGUAUGCACUGUUUUGCAUUGCCUGGUAUUUCUAUUAGGCUAGACAGUUAUUUAGGGGAAAUCCCGCAGUUACACAGGCAUGGCUUAAGUGUGAUGUAUGCAUUAUCUACUCACCUAUUGUUGAUGUGACAACAUCCAGCGCCAAAUGACUUCAAUGCGAAGACGUACACGUGAGUAUGUAGGUAUGAAAAUAUAUGAAAUUAUUUUAUGUGAUUAAAAGAUCGCUUUUUAAGGAAACGUUAACAAACACGAAUUUUAUUCUACAGCAUACUUAAUCACAUUAAUUUGGGCAUGUUUUUGAUGUCUGUAUAACGUUAUAUUUUUUAAUGACUCGUUUGACUUGAGGAAGACCGUAAUUUAGGGGAAGUCUUACAGUCCAACAGCCAUGAAAGCAACUGUGACGUCAAUGUUAGUUUGCGUCGUAACAGGUAAGAAGAUUUUAUGGAUACAGAUGUUCGGUUACAAUGAUAACUUACCAUAAUGAGGCAGUUCGGGGAAUGUCAGCACAAGUGAUGGCGUCAAUACGAUCACAAGUUGCUUAUGGAUUUCACACGGUCCUACGAAAAUCUGGGCUAGCUAACGUGACACCAAGUAUUACCUGAUGUAAAAACAACGAAUACACAGAGACAAACGCAAAUUGACGAUAAUCGGUUUUUCCUCUGACUGGAAGCUGAUUGGCACUGAUUUUUCAAUCAACACAAACAUCAUAAGGUAAACAACCCACUCCGAAACGCUCGCAAACCAAUAAAGACGAUGGAAAAUAUAUUUACUUUCAAAUAUGCGGAAUUUAAUUUAAUAUAAAUCUGUUACUACCAACGUAAAAGCAAUCAUAGUUAAACAAAUGGCAUUGGAAAAUGAAACAAACAAUAUUCUAGUAAUACGACAUGUUUUCACGGUGGAAAUGAGCAUUCGCCAACCCAGUUGCUAUGCGAGCCUAUCAAAUACCUUUAUCUACAGGAUCGGUGGAACAAAUCUUUGGAGUACUAGGGCGGUUGAUUGACUGUAUUGUGCUUAUUGAUUCAAAUUUUUAAAUCUGGUCUUGAACAAAACAACUCUACAUCAGGAUAUGACCUAAACUGCAAGCUUGUACCACCUAACUACAUAUGCAAUAACAUGUAGAGAAAUGUGAUCAAACCUACGAUUAACCUAAAGGGUUUCUCAACAAAACGUUCUACAUGAUACUCUGUUACAUGAAAUUUUGUGUUUUUGUAAAAGAUAAGAAGGGUGCUAUAAAACGAGUAGAACAGCACCAAUGUGUUUGUAUGAAUUAGCCUUAAUCAGAAAAGAAAAUUGCAGUCCUCGAUAGCGUUCAUUCAUUUAGAUUCUUCAGGAGUAAUAACUAACCACUGACCACUAUCAGUGGUGAAAGCGUGCGGAGACUACAAUGUUCUGUUUCUAAGUGUUUAUUGUUUAUGUGUGUGUGUGUGUGUGUGUGUGUGUGUGUUGUGUGUGUGUGUNGUUCGUGUGCCUCUUUUCCCACUGCCUGCCUCAAGGUCAUCAACAUUGCCACUAUAAUUGAUGAUCGGCUAAUGUUUUCACAACCCUUGGAAACGUUAAGGAUCAUCAACAAUAUUUGCUGAGUUGAUAAUAUUCUAGGUCUAGAUACAAAAAUAAAAUGAUGAAUUAUAGAAUUUUCACUCGCCUGGAGGUAUGCUUUUGAUAUCUCAAACCGGAGAUUUCUUGAGCCGCUUAAAUUAUGCUUUUUGAGUGCCUGCACAAGAAACUGAAUGUUGAGAAUCUUAUCGUUACCUUUAUGAGGGUGAUUGUUUUUUUUCUCUUACGCUGCUAGUUCUGUUUUAUAUGCAAUAUUGACGUUACAUGGCCAAUUCAUUGUGAUGUUAAUGGAUACAUUGUUGAUGCAACGUCAAUUCGUAUUUUAGCUUAUAUAUGUGUAUUGGCGUAUGAUGGCCUUCAUUUGUUAUUGUGUUUAUUAACUGGAUCACGAUAAGUUUCAUUUAACCGUAUUUUUUUACCUGAACUUAUUCAUGUCUCGGCAAUUAACAUUUAAUCAAACGUGCUAAAAAAAAGAAAUCGAUUUUGUGAAGAAGUAGACUUUUGCUUACUUUAUUAAAUUCGGCACAAUUAAAUCUUGAUGGUUACAUAACCUGAAAUGCCAACUUGUUUUGUAAAUAAAUCCCAGCAAGUCAACAAGCUACAAAUCAACAGCGACACAUACCCCUCACCACAUUCACAUACAAUACAGUAUAUCGAUUCGAUAUGAUUUUUUUUUACAGAAUAAGUUGUCAAUUCAGGUUGUGCGAAACAAUUGUGUUUGAUUGUGCCUUUAAAAAGUGAAGUCAGAAUAAUUUGGGUAUUUCUUUGUCAAGAAAUUGAUUUAUUUAUGUUGAAAUUUUGAAUCAAUUAUCAACGAAACAAUAAAAAAAAUGUUAAGACUACUAUCUAAAAAUCAACAGGUUCAUAUGUAAAUCACAUUGACUUAUAAAGACUUUUGUGGAUGUCUAUAAACACGAAAGAACAGGAGUGAAAAAAAUGUAUGAAAAUUUGUACUGGAUGAAUGAUGUGUCAUAUGGAACACUAAAUGUCGAAAUAAUCUGAAAUGAACAAUACCGGUAUGUGAUUCGGGAAAAUUAUCCCAGGUCAUAAUUUUUUUUCGAUGUCAAAUACGUAUAAAAAUGUAUGUGUAUGAGCGUGUGAGGGAAUGUUAGUAUAUUUCAUGUGCGUAAGAAGAUAGGAACAGUUAUUUAUAGAAUCCAUCAACACCACCCCCUCCUCUGAAUGAAGGACAGUAAAAUCUCCCUCCGAGUUUUUUUUCUCAGGUUGCUAUUCAUGAUGUUUGUCGAGUGUUUGGCAACAUAAGACUCUUUUCCCGAGGUUUGAGAUCCCAAAUUUCACCCUUAGGGGGUGAAUGGUCUUUUUCUCAUACCAUGUUUUUUCUGUUGUACAUGUACUAUUGACGUUACAGGGUCAAUGUAUUGUUCACGUGGCAGAAAUAAUGUAUUACCUGUAACUCAACGAGAUCGGUUCAUCUCAUUUGACGGCUAACAUUUUGUAACAUAAUACCAAACGAGGUAGAAACCAAGGUUUGCAUGUUACAGUAUUUUAACCCAAGAAUGAGGUAACCCGAUCUCGCUCAGUUACAGGUGACUUAUUUAUCAACGCAGAUUGUUAAUAUUGAGCGUUAGCGCGAUGACGAUUAUUAAUGCAUUGUUCAUUUGACGUCAAUUUAUUCUUGACAUUAUGUCAAUUGUUAUAACUUGGGAAUCCCCUUGUCUCAACUCGACGUUGAGACAAGGAUAUCACCCAGGGAGAAGUGUGAAUACAUCUGUCUAGGGAAAGAGUGAAAAUUAUAAUUGAUAAUCAAAAUUACGUUUGUCAUAUUGCUUUCAAAAUAUAGUUAUGUUGUCCAUUUUAUUCAAAGAAACUCUAAAUGUUUUUGGCGUAUAAUGGCCUUCAUUUGUUAAUAAGUCUUUAUGAUUGAUUAUGAUAAGGUACAUUUAACAAAAUAUGUUUGCCUUUAUUAACCCAUUUAUGACUCGGCUAUUUAUACCAAAUUCAACGUGCCAACAAAAAUAAAUCGAUUUUGUUUUGAAGAAGUAGACUAUGCUAAUUUUAUUUCAAUACAGCACUAUUACAUCCUGAUGUUUUCAUAACCUGAAAUGCCAACUUGUUUUGUAAAUAAAUCCCAGAAAGUCAUCAAGCUACAAAUCAACGACGACACAUACCCCUCAACACAUACACAUACAAUAUAUUGACUCGAUAGGACUAUUACAGAAUCAGUUGGCAAUUCAGGUUGUGCGAAACAAGUCUUUUUGAUUGCGCCUUUUAAAACUGAAGUCAGCAUUAUUUUGGUCUUUCUUUGUUAAGAAAUUGAUUUAUUUAUGUUGAAACCUGAAAGCAAAUAUCAUUAACGACAAAAAACUUAGACAGACUAUAUAAAGGUGAACAAGUUCAUAUCUAAAUUAUAUAGAAUCACCGUAAAAACACCGUACAAGCGUAAUCAAUCAUAUGACGUUGCAGAUAGGUGGUCAUUGACACAUAUUCUCAUAUUUAACACAGUUAAUGUUAAACUUUAAACAACCUUUGUGUCUCAUGAAUUUUGAUGAAUCGUUUUUUUUAUAAAGCAUGAUAAUUGUUUAAUUAAACAGAUUGAUU